rnacentral:lncRNA from 1 species
CUCAGCCUCCCAAAGUGCUGGGAUUACAGGCGUGAGCCACCACACCCGGCUGGUAUCUUUUUUUUUUUUUUUUUUUUGAAGACAGAGUCUUGCUCUGUCCCCCAGGCUGGAGCAACCAUCACAGCUCACCGCAGCCUCAGCCUCCUGGGCUCAGGCGAUCCUCCCGCCUCAGCCUCCCGAGUACCUGGGACCGCAGACGCGCUCCACCAUGCCUGUUCUUUGUUGUUGUUGUUGAGACAGGGUCUCAUUAUGUUGUCCAGGCUGGACAUGAACUCCUGGGCUCAAGCAUCCUCCUGCCUUGGCUUCCUGUUGUGAUUAUAGGUGUGAAAUACUACACCCAGCCUGAUUUUUGGUUUUAGAGACAGGAUCUUGCUGAGCUGCCCAGGUGGGAAGGCAAUGGCUGUUCGCAGGCUCACUCACGGUGCACUACCGCCGUGAGCUCCUGGACUCAAGUGAUCCUCCUGCUGCAGCCUCCCAAGCAGCUGGGACCACAGGUGUGAGCCAUGUUUCCAGUUUAUCACAGACAGAGUCUGCUGUGGAGUAGGGUGGCGUGAUCUCAG